rnacentral:lncRNA from 1 species
CGGGGAAUCUGCUUGAUGACGGAGUCCGAAGCCAGGAAGGCGUGGUACGCCUGGGCUGUGGGGCGAGGAAGGCCGUCGGGGUCGGGUUAGCUCACGUCUGGCAAUCCGCGCGCUCAUCAAAAUCUGAUACCACCGUAUUAUUAAAAGCAAUGUUGCGGUGAGUAUGUCGCACGGAACCGCCUGGCAACCCAGCCAUUCUCGGCCGCCACUUUCGCGCCUCCCUCAAGCGAUGCCCCAACUCACCCAGCUUCUUGACCAGCUUCUUGUUCUUGUUCAGCUUCUUCAGGUCCUCCACACCCUUGGCGUCGACGCCAAUGGCGCCGGCCUGCUCGCAGUGCUUCACAUCACCCAGCACGCACACGCGCAUGCGGGGGCGAGGCACGAAGGGCAGGCGGACGGAGCCGCUGAAACGCUUGUCCUUCUGGGGGUCGUAGUUCUUCAGACCAAUCUGCAGCUCCACGGUCUCCUGGAACUUCCGGGGCUUGGUCUUAGCCCCCUCCACCAGGGCUGCAAUAAACGGGAGGCAACAUAAAAUUACAGAGCGUCAGCAGCGCGUGCGACGAGCGUAAAACCCGGCGCGACUUGUGCCGGCGGCGACUCCUGCCCUGUGCCUUAAUUGUCAACUUGCUUCAUAAGCUAUCGUUAACACUAC